UUAUGCACAUUUGAGAACAUGCAGGAUAUUUAAUUUAGUUAGUCAUGAAUACUUAUAAUAGUAGUACUAAUUUGUCAACAAAGAAUCGUUACUGCAGCUUUUUGGAACUCCAUACAUCGGUGUCUUCAGAAUUUGCAUGCAACGUUUCGUCUUAGCGGAAGUACCAUUAACAUUAAAAUUUUAAGUACGGAUCUAGAUUUUUUAUUUUUUUUUUUACUUUUUUUUAAAAAAAAUGUGCUAAACGUACAUCGUAUGGUCUCUUACUUAUUCUCGACGUUACGCAGCAAUAAAACCAUCAUGAGACAGCAGUUCAGCUUUGUUCUCAAUGAAAUAAAGAAAAGACAACAGAGCACAGAGCCAAAAAAUUCUGUAACGAAAAGGAAUAUGGAUCAAAAAACUCCAAACCAACUGAAAUGUUUUCGUUGUAAUUCAUGUGGAAAACCUCUAACAUUAGGACCUGUGUCUAUUCAUGUAGACGGAAUGUUUUACUGUGAAAAAUGUAGCUCAAGAUAUGCAUAUGCAGGAAACAACUCUUUUUAUAACACCACUCUUGGUGCAGCAUUGUAUAGACAUACGUUUAAAUGUGGCAAUAAUGGGUGUAAUGAGGACAUCCCCUUGCUCCAAACCAAGAUGCACGAAGAUAACUGCAGAUUUAAACCAAUACCGUGUGUACUUUCACACUGCAAUUGGCUCAAAAGCAAAGGAGAUUUUCUUGAUCAUUUUCGCUUAAGUCACGGUCAGUUUUAUUGUAAAGAAAAUGAAAAUAUUAUGUUCGACAUUCAAGGCAAACAGAAAGAGAAAUUCGUUAUGAUUGAUAAUUAUUGCUUUAUUAAAAUGUAUACCUCUGAAGAUGGGACUACUUUAAAUUUUGCUGUUUGUAAAAUACAAAACAAUUUCGAAAGCUGUAAAAUUGAUAUAUUCGAUAAGGAUCUAAAUUAUAUGGGUAAAUAUGCUAGAAAUGCCGAAGCAUUUGAUGAAAAUUUCACAAAUUGUAAUUGUGUAGUCUCUUUUCCACAUAUUGAUAAGUUUUUUAGUACUUCAAGUGUAUUAAAUAUUCAAAUUACUUGUAAAAACAGUUAUUAACAAUAAAAUUUCCCUGAUAAAUAAUAUUUA
rnacentral:lncRNA from 1 species